rnacentral:lncRNA from 1 species
AGUCCCGUCGCCCAGGAAACAGCAUCUUGGCAAUGAGUUGGAGAAGGAAAUGACAAAUGACUCCAGCAUCUUUGCCAAGAAAACUCCAAAGGGUCACAAAGAAUCUGAUGCUACUGAAAACGACUAAGCAACAACAAACAACUGAUUGGAUGAGGAAACUGAAGUUUGGAGAUGUUAAGUGACUUAUCUGAGCUCCUUUGGGCACUGAGCGACCAGCCUAUACUUUUAUUCCACCUCCUUUGAUUCUUCUACCACUCCAUGCUGCCUCCUUGGUAAGGAAAGACCUAAGAAGUCCUUUUUACUAAUCUGAAAUAAAUUGUCUCCCAUAUUGAGGCA